rnacentral:rRNA from 1 species
GACGAACGCCGGCGGCGUGCUUAACACAUGCAAGUCGAACGAAGAGCGAUGGAAGCUUGCUUCUAUCAAUCUUAGUGGCGAACGGGUGAGUAACGCGUAAUCAACCUGCCCUUCAGAGGGGGACAACAGUUGGAAACGACUGCUAAUACCGCAUACGAUUCAAUCUCGGCAUCGAGGAUGGAUGAAAGGUGGCCUCUAUUUAUAAGCUAUCACUGAAGGAGGGGAUUGCGUCUGAUUAGCUAGUUGGAGGGGUAACGGCCCACCAAGGCGAUGAUCAGUAGCCGGUCUGAGAGGAUGAACGGCCACAUUGGGACUGAGACACGGCCCAGACUCCUACGGGAGGCAGCAGUGGGGAAUCUUCCGCAAUGGACGAAAGUCUGACGGAGCAACGCCGCGUGAGUGAUGACGGCCUUCGGGUUGUAAAGCUCUGUUAAUCGGGACGAAAGGCCUUCUUGCGAAUAGUUAGAAGGAAUG